UAGGAUGACAGUAACAGAAAAAGAUCCCCAGCUUUUUUUUUCUUGAAGCCUUCUAUUUCCCAGUGUCUGCCACCAGCAUGUAGCAAAGGCAGCUAGCUGGCAGCUAUAUGGGUUACAGUUUUCCUAGCAACUGUCUUUGAUCCAAUCAUCUCUCUUCACAAAUACAACCUAUGCCAAUUUCCAACAGCAGGCCUAUCCUUUCCAUUGGGUGUGCCACAGAAUGGCAAAUACAUAAAUUUCGAUGAAAAGGAAGAACACUUUAAUUUCAUAUUCUACAUUAAAAACAGUGGCUUUGUGUUAGCUGUUUUAUGAUUUUGUCUUGUCUAAAUGUGGUUGUUUGGUUUAUUUGCCAUGAGCAAAUCCUAUACAAAAACAAAAGUUAAAGUUAGGAGGAUCAAUAUGAAAUAUGAUUGUUUUAAACAACAAUACUAUACAUACUUGAAACUAUCAAAAUGAAAACAUCUUUUUAUUGACACUAGUUGUUAAUGGAAGACUUCAAUAUAUUCAUGAAGUGCAUAUGGUUGGUUGAAACUAUUGAUAUAACAAUCAUAUUUAUUCUUUCUAUCUUUGAUUUGAUAUUUUAAAAAUACACAGGAGGCCAGGAGUUUGGCCUAGUGGUAGAGUGCUUGCCUGGCAU